rnacentral:rRNA from 1 species
GAUGAACGCUGGCGGCGUGCCUAAUACAUGCAAGUCGAGCGAACAGACGAUGAUCUUGCGCCUCUGACGAGUGGCGCGGGCGGGUGAGUAACGCGAGUAUAACCUACCUAUAAUACUGAUAUAACUUCGAGAAACCGGAGCUAAUACGGUAUAAUAUCUUGAACCGCGUGGUUGAAUAGUGAAAUACGGUUUUGGUGUCACUUAUAGAUGGAUCCCCGCCGUAUUAGCUAGUUGGUAAGGUAACGGCUUACCAAGGCGACGAUGCGUAGCCGACCUGCGAGGGUGAUAGGCCACACUGGAACUGAGACACGGUCCAGACGCCUACGGGAGGCAGCAGUAGGGAAUCUUCCGCAAUGGGCGAAAGCCUGACGGAGCAACGCCGCGUGAGUGAUGAAGGUCUUCGGAUCGUAAAACUCUGUUAUUAGGGAAGAACAAAUGUGUAAGUAACUAUGCACGUCUUGACGGUAGCUAAUCAGAAAGCCACGGCUAACUACGUG